UACGGAGGGUGCAAGCGUUAUCCGGAUUCACUGGGUUUAAAGGGUGCGUAGGAGGGCAGGUAAGUCAGUGGUGAAAUCUUCGAGCUUAACUCGGAACUGCCGUUGAUACUAUCUGUCUUGAAUAUUGUGGAGGUGAGCGGAAUAUGUCAUGUAGCGGUGAAAUGCUUAGAUAUGACAUAGAACACCAAUUGCGAAGGCAGCUCGCUACACAUAUAUUGACUCUGAGGCACGAAAGCGUGGGGAUCAAACAGG
rnacentral:rRNA from 1 species